rnacentral:rRNA from 1 species
AUGAACGCUGGGCGGCGUGGCUUAACCACAUGCAAGUCGAACGAUAUGAUGCCCACUUUGUGGGUGGAUUAGUGGCGAAACGGGUGAGUAAACACGUGAGUAACCUGCCCUUGACUCUGGGAUAAGCCUGGGAAACUGGGGUCUAAUACCGGAUAUGACUGACUAUCGCCAUGGUGGUUGGUGGAAAAGCCUUUGUUGUGGUUUUGGAUGGACUCGCGGCCCUAUCAGCUUGUUGGUGGGGGGUAUAUAAUGGCCUACCAAGGCGACGACGGGUAGCCGGCCCUGAGAGGGUGACCGGCCACACUGGGACUGAGACACGGCCCAGACUCCUACGGGGAGGCAGCAGUGGGGAAUAUUGCACAAUGGGCGCAAGGCCUGAUGCAGCGACCGCCCGCGUGAGGGAUGACCGGCCCUUCGGGUUUUGUAAACCUCUUUCAGUAGGGAAAGAAAAGCGAAAAGUGACGGUACCUGCAGAAAGAAGCGCCGGCUAACUACGUGCCAGCAGGCCGCGGUAUAAUACGUAGGGCGCAAGCGUUAUCCGGAAUUAUUGGGGCGUAUAAAGAGCUCGUAGGCGGUUUUUGUCCGUCCUGUCGUGAAAGUCCGGGGCUCAACUCCGGAUCUGCGGUGGGUACGGGCAGAACUAGAGUGAUGUAGGGGAGACUGGAAUUCCUGGUGUAAGCGGUGUGAAAAUGCGGCAGAUAUCAGGAGGAACCACCGAUGGCGAAGGCAGGUCUCUGGGCAAUUAACUGACGCCUGAGGGAGCGAAAAGCAUGGGGGAGGCGAACAGGAUUAGAUACCCUGGUAGUCCCAUGCCGUAAACGUUGGGCACUAGGUUGUGGGGGACAUUCCACGUUUUUCCCGCGCCGUAGCUAACCGCAUUAAGUGCCCCCGCCUGGGGAGUACGGCCGCAAGGCUAAAACUCAAAGGAAAUUGACGGGGGGCCCGCCACAAGCGGCGGAGCAUGCGGAUAAUUAAUUCGAUGCAACGCGAAAGAACCUUACCAAGGCUUGACAUGAAACCAGACCGGGCUGGGAAACAGUCCUUCCCCUUGUGGGUUGGUUUACAGGUGGUGCAUGGUUGUCGUCAGCUCGUGUCGUGAGGAUGUUGGGUUAAGUCCCCGCAACGAGCGCAACCCUCGUUCUAUGUUUGCCAGCACGUUGAUGGUGGGGACUCAUAGGAGACUGCCGGGGUCAACUCGGAGGAAAGGUGGGGACGACGUCAAAUCAUCAUGCCCCUUAUGUCUUGGGCUUCACGCAUGCUACAAUGGCCGGUACAAAGGGUUGCGAUACUGUGAGGUGGAAGCUAAUCCCAAAAAGCCGGUCUCAGUUUCGGAUUGGGGUCUGCAACUCGACCCCAUGAAAGUCGGAGUCGCUAGUAAUCGCAGAUCAGCAACGCUGCGGUGAAUACGUUCCCGGGCCUUGUACACACCGCCCCCGUCAAGUCACGAAAGUUGGUAACACCCGAAAGCCGGUGGCCUAACCCCUUGUGGGAGGGGAGCUGUCGAAGGUGGGACUGGCGAUUGGGACU